GACGAACGCUGGCGGCGUGCUUAACACAUGCAAGUCGAACGGGAGUAUUGAAGAAGCUUGCUUUAGAGAUACUUUAGUGGCGGACGGGUGAGUAACGCGUGAGGAGCUGUCCUAUGCAGGGGGACAACAGCUGGAAACGGCUGCUAAUACCCCAUAAGCCGAGAGGUAAAAGGAUCAAUCCGGCAGAGGAGGUACUCGCGUCCUAUCAGCUAGUAGGUGAGGUAACGGCUCACCUAGGCGAAGACGGGUAGCCGGCCUGAGAGGGCGAACGGCCACACUGGAACUGAGAUACGGUCCAGACUCCUACGGGAGGCAGCAGUGGGGAAUAUUGGGCAAUGGGGGAAACCCUGACCCAGCGACGCCGCGUGGGUGAAGAAAUCCUUCGGGAUGUAAAGCCCUGUUGUAUGGGAAGAGCGGAAGACGGUACCAUACGAGGAAGCCCCGGACAAACUACGUGCCAGCAGCCGACGGUAAAAGUCAACGUCG
rnacentral:rRNA from 1 species